UACGUAGGGGGCAAGCGUUGUCCGGAAUCAUUGGGCGUAAAGAGCGUGUAGGCGGUCCGUUAAGUCGGCUGUGAAAGUCCAAGGCUCAACCUUGGGAUGCCGGUCGAUACUGCCGGACUAGAGUUCGGAAGAGGCGAGUGGAAUUCCCGGUGUAGCGGUGAAAUGCGCAGAUAUCAGGAGGAACACCAAUAGCGAAGGCAGCUCGCUGGGACGGUACUGACGCUGAGGUGCGAAAGCGUGGGGAGCAAACAGG
rnacentral:rRNA from 1 species